GAAAUACCACCCUUUAAUGUUUGAUGUUCUAACGUUGCCCCGUUAUCCGGGGUGCGGACAGUGUCUGGUGGGUAGUUUGACUGGGGCGGUCUCCUCCCAAAGAGUAACGGAGGAGCACGAAGGUUGGCUAAGCAUGGUCGGACAUCAUGCGGUUAGUGCAAAGGCAUAAGCCAGCUUGACUGCGAGAGUGACGGCUCGAGCAGGUACGAAAGUAGGUCUUAGUGAUCCGGUGGUUCUGAAUGGAAGGGCCAUCGCUCAACGGAUAAAAGGUACUCCGGGGAUAACAGGCUGAUACCGCCCAAGAGUUCAUAUCGACGGCGGUGUUUGGCACCUCGAUGUCGGCUCAUCACAUCCUGGGGCUGAAGUAGGUCCCAAGGGUACGGCUGUUCGCCGUUUAAAGUGGUACGCGAGCUGGGUUUAGAACGUCGUGAGACAGUUCGGUCCCUAUCUGCCGUGGGCGUUGGAAGAUUGAAAGGGGCUGCUCCUAGUACGAGAGGACCGGAGUGGACGCACCACUGGUGUUCGGGUUGUCAUGCCAAUGGCAUUGCCCGGUAGCUAAGUGCGGAAGAGAUAACCGCUGAAAGCAUCUAAGCGGGAAACUUGCCUUGAGAUGAGUCUUCCCUGACCCUUUAAGGGUCCUAAAGGAACGUUUAAGACUAAGACGUUGAUAGGUUGGGUGUGUAAGCAUAGCGAUAUGUUGAGCUAACCAAUACUAAUGAACCGUGAGGCUUAACCUG
rnacentral:rRNA from 1 species